rnacentral:rRNA from 1 species
GAUCCUGGCUUAGGAUGAACGCUAGCUACAGGCUUAACACAUGCAAGUCGCGGGGCAGCAUAUAGAUAGCUUGCUAUUAUGAUGGCGACCGGCGCACGGGUGAGUAACGCGUAUCCAACCUUCCCCAUAGUAGGGUAUAGCCCGGCGAAAGUCGGAUUAAUCCCCUAUGUUGUUUGAGGCGGACAUCUAAUUCAAACCAAAGAUUCAUCGCUAUGGGAUGGGGAUGCGUCUGAUUAGGUUGCAGGCGGGUAACGGCCCACCUGGCCGACGAUCAGUAGGGGUUCUGAGAGGAAGGUCCCCCACACUGGUACUGAGACACGGACCAGACUCCUACGGGAGGCAGCAGUGAGGAAUAUUGGUCAAUGGGCGCGAGCCUGAACCAGCCAAGUAGCGUGCCAGGAUGACGGCCCUACGGGUUGUAAACUGCUUUUAUGCGGGGAUAAAGUGCGGCCACGUGUGCCGUUUUGCAGGUACCGCAUGAAUAAGGACCGGCUAAUUCCGUGCCAGCAGCGGC